AUUGAACGCUGGCGGCAUGCUUUACACAUGCAAGUCGAACGGCAGCACGCGCUUCGGCCUUGCGGCGAGUGGCGAACGGGUGAGUAGUACAUCGGAACGUGCACACGUGGGGGGGAUAGCCCCGCGAGAGCCGGAUUAAUACCACAUAAGCCCUGAGGGUGAAAGCGGGGGAGCUUCGGACCGCGCGAUUUUGGAGGGGCCGAUGGCAGAUUAGCGAGUUGGUGGGGUAAAGGCCUACCAAGGCGACGAUCUGUAGCUGGUCUGAGAGGACGACCAGCCACACUGGGACUGAGACACGGCCCAGACUCCUACGGGAGGCAGCAGUGGGGAAUUUUGGACAAUGGGCGAAAGCCUGAUCCAGCAAUGCCGCGUGUGUGAUGAAGGCCUUCGGGUUGUAAAGUACUUUUGGCGGGAACGAAAAGGACCGGGCCAAUACCACGGUUCGAUGACGGUACCCUCAGAAUAAGCACCGGCUAACUACGUG
rnacentral:rRNA from 1 species